rnacentral:rRNA from 1 species
GUAGGUGGCAAGCGUUGUCCGGAAUUAUUGGGGCGUAAAGCGCGCGCAGGCGGUUCUUUGAGUCUGAUGUGAAAGCCCACGGGCUCAACCGUGGAGGGUCAUUGGAAACUGGAGAACUUGAGUACAGAAGAGGAAAGCGGAAUUCCACGUGUAGCGGUGAAAUGCGUAGAGAUGUGGAGGAACACCAGUGGCGAAGGCGGCUUUCUGGUCUGUAACUGACGCUGAGGCGCGAAAGCGUGGGGAGCAAACAGGAUUAGAUACCCUGGUAGUCCACGCCGUAAACGAUGAGUGCUAAGUGUUAGGGGGUUUCCGCCCCUUAGUGCUGCAGCUAACGCAUUAAGCACUCCGCCUGGGGAGUACGGCCGCAAGGCUG